rnacentral:rRNA from 1 species
GACGAACGCUGGCGGCGUGCUUAACACAUGCAAGUCGAACGAAGUGGCGAACGGGUGAGUAACGCGUAAUCCACCUGCCCUUCAGAGGGGAACAACAGUUGUAAACGACUGCUACUACCCCAUACUGACGUAGGGGAUUGCGUCUGAUUCGCUAGUUGGAGGGGUAACGGCCCCCCCAGGCGAUGACCAGUAGCCGGUCUGAGAGGAUGAACGGCCACAUUGGGACUGAGACACGGCCCAGACUCCUACGGGAGGCAGCAGUGGGGAAUCUUCCGAAAUGGACGAAAGUCUGACGGAGCAACGCCGCGUGAGUGAUGACGGCCUUCGGGUUGUAAAGCUCUGUUAAUCGGGACGCGGUACCGGAAUAGAAAGCCACGGCUAACUACGUGCCAGCAGCCGCGGUAAUUC